AUUGAACGCUGGCGGCAUGCUUUACACAUGCAAGUCGAACGGCAGCGCGGGCUUCGGCCUGGCGGCGAGUGGCGAACGGGUGAGUAAUACAUCGGAACGUGCCCAGUAGUGGGGGAUAGCUCGGCGAAAGCCGGAUUAAUACCGCAUACGACCUGAGGGUGAAAGCGGGGGAUCUUCGGACCUCGCGCUAUUGGAGCGGCCGAUGGCAGAUUAGCUAGUUGGGGGGGUAAAGGCCUACCAAGGCGACGAUCUGUAGCUGGUCUGAGAGGACGACCAGCCACAUGGGGAUGGAGCAACGGCCGAGCCUCGUACGGGGGGAGCAAGGGGGGAUUUUUGAAGAAGGGGCGAAGGCCUGACCGAACAAGGCGGGGUGGGGGAAGAGGGUCUUGGGGUUGAAAAGUUCUUUGGGGGGAAAAGAAAAGGAGUGGCCAAAUCCCGCGGUGGGAUGAGGGACCCCAAAAAAAAGGACCGGGAAAACUUGGGG
rnacentral:rRNA from 1 species